rnacentral:rRNA from 1 species
CGUGCAGGCGGUUUGUUAAGUGCAGGGUGAAAGCUCCCGGCUCAACUGGGAGAGGUCCUUGCAUACUGGCAAACUCGAGGGAGGCAGAGGAAAGUGGAAUUCCCGGUGUAGUGGUGAUAUGCGUAGAUAUCGGGAGGAACACCUGUGGCGAAGGCGGCUUUCUGGGCCUUACCUGACGCUGAGACGCGAAAGCGUGGGGAGCGAACCGGAUUAGAUACCCGGGUAGUCCACGCCGUAAACUAUGGACACUAGGUGUGGGGGGUAUCGACCCCCUCCGUGCCGAAGCUAACGCAAUAAGUGUCCCGCCUGGGGAGUACGGCCGCAAGGCUAAA